AGGACGAACGCUUGCGACGUGCCUAAGAAAUGCAAGUCGAACGGAUGUCGUCCUUCGGGACGGCAUUAGUGGCGAACGGUCGCGUAACACGUGGGCAACCUGCCCUGAAGCGGGGGACGAACAACUCGAAAGAGUUGCUAAUACCGCAUGUGUAUCGGAAUGGCAUCAUUCAGGAUACAAAGCCGCAAGGCACUUCAGGAUGGGCCCGCGGCCUAUCAGCUUGUUGGUGAGGUAACGGCUCACCAAGGCUUCGACGGGUAGCUGGUCUGAGAGGACGAUCAGCCGGAUUGGGACUGAGAUACGGCCCAGACUCCUACGGGGGGCAGCAACUAGGAAUCUUGCACAAUGGGCGAAAGCCUGAUGCAGCAACGCCGCGUGAGGGACGAAGGCUUUCUGAGUUGUAAACCUCUUUCAGCAGGGACGAUGAUGACGGUACCUGCAGAAGAAGCCCCGGCAACUACGUGCCAGCAGCCGC
rnacentral:rRNA from 1 species